rnacentral:tRNA from 1 species
CAAAAUGUAGCUUAAUAUUAAAGCCCCUUGCUUACACCAAGAAAUUAUCUGCUAAGCCCAGAUCAUUUUGA